UACGUAGGGGGCUAGCGUUGUCCGGAAUCAUUGGGCGUAAAGCGCGCGUAGGCGGCCCGGUAAGUCCGCUGUAAAAGUCAAAGGCUCAACCUUUGAAUGUCAGUGGAUACUGCCGGGCUAGAGUCCGGAAGAGGCGAGUGGAACUCCUGGUGUAGCGGUGGAAUGCGCAGAUAUCAGGAAGAACACCGGUGGCGAAGGCGGGUCUCUGGGCCGAAAUUGACGCUGAGGAGCGAAAGCGUGGGGAGCAAACAGG
rnacentral:rRNA from 1 species